rnacentral:rRNA from 1 species
CUCAGGAUGAACGCUGGCGGCGUGCCUAAUACAUGCAAGUCGAGCGAACAGACGAGGAGCUUGCUCCUUUGACGUUAGCGGCGGACGGGUGAGUAACACGUGGGUAACCUACCUAUAAGACUGGGAUAACUUCGGGAAACCGGAGCUAAUACCGGAUAAUAUUUCGAACCGCAUGGUUCGAUAGUGAAAGAUGGCUCUGCUAUCACUUAUAGAUGGACCUGCGCCGUAUUAGCUAGUUGGUAAGGUAACGGCUUACCAAGGCAACGAUACGUAGCCGACCUGAGAGGGUGAUCGGCCACACUGGAACUGAGACACGGUCCAGACUCCUACGGGAGGCAGCAGUAGGGAAUCUUCCGCAAUGGGCGAAAGCCUGACGGAGCAACGCCGCGUGAGUGAUGAAGGUCUUCGGAUCGUAAAACUCUGUUAUUAGGGAAGAACAAACGUGUAAGUAACUGUGCACGUCUUGACGGUACCUAAUCAGAAAGCCACGGCUAACUACGUGCCAGCAGCCGCGGUAAUACGUAGGUGGCAAGCGUUAUCCGGAAUUAUUGGGCGUAAAGCGCGCGUAGGCGGUUUUUUAAGUCUGAUGUGAAAGCCCACGGCUCAACCGUGGAGGGUCAUUGGAAACUGGAAAACUUGAGUGCAGAAGAGGAAAGUGGAAUUCCAUGUGUAGCGGUGAAAUGCGCAGAGAUAUGGAGGAACACCAGUGGCGAAGGCGACUUUCUGGUCUGUAACUGACGCUGAUGUGCGAAAGCGUGGGGAUCAAACAGG